UCUCUCUUUCUCUCUCUCUCUCUCUGUCUGGAUCUCUCUCUAUCUAUUUGUAUUGUCUGCAUGGCUCUCUCU